rnacentral:rRNA from 1 species
GACGAACGCUGGCGGCGUGCUUAACACAUGCAAGUCGUACGGUAAGGCCCUUUCGGGGGUACACGAGUGGCGAACGGGUGAGUAACACGUGAGUAACCUGCCCACAACUUUGGGAUAACGCUAGGAAACUGGUGCUAAUACUGGAUGUGUGCUCCUGCUGCAUGGUGGGGGUUGGAAAGCUCCGGCGGUUGUGGAUGGACUCGCGGCCUAUCAGCUUGUUGGUGGGGUAGUGGCCUACCAAGGCGGCGACGGGUAGCCGGCCUGAGAGGGUGACCGGCCACAUUGGGACUGAGAUACGGCCCAGACUCCUACGGGAGGCAGCAGUGGGGAAUAUUGCACAAUGGGCGCAAGCCUGAUGCAGCAACGCCGCGUGCGGGAUGACGGCCUUCGGGUUGUAAACCGCUUUCAGCAGGGACGAAGCUUUUUGUGACGGUACCUGCAGAAGAAGCACCGGCUAACUACGUG